rnacentral:rRNA from 1 species
GAUGAACGCUGACAGAAUGCUUAACACAUGCAAGUCAACUUGAACUUCGGUUUGGGUGGCGGACGGGUGAGUAACGCGUAAAGAACUUGCCUCACAGUUAGGGACAACAUUUGGAAACGAAUGCUAAUACCUGAUAUUAUGAUUUUAGGGCAUCCUAGAAUUAUGAAAGCUAUAUGCGCUGUGAGAGAGCUUUGCGUCCCACUAGCUAGUUGGAGAGGUAACGGCUCACCAAGGCGAUGAUGGGUAGCCGGCCUGAGAGGGUGAACGGCCACAAGGGGACUGAGACACGGCCCUUACUCCUACGGGAGGCAGCAGUGGGGAAUAUUGGACAAUGGACCAAGAGUCUGAUCCAGCAAUUCUGUGUGCACGAUGAAGUUUUUCGGAAUGUAAAGUGCUUUCAGUUGGGAAGAAAAAAAUGACGGUACCAACAAAAGAAGUGACGGCUAAAUACGUGCCAGCAGCCGCGGUAAUACGUAUGUCACAAGCGUUAUCCGGAUUUAUUGGGCGUAAAGCGCGUCUAGGUGGUUAUGUAAGUCUGAUGUGAAAAUGCAGGGCUCAACUCUGUAUUGCGUUGGAAACUGUGUAACUAGAGUACUGGAGAGGUAAGCGGAACUACAAGUGUAGAGGUGAAAUUCGUAGAUAUUUGUAGGAAUGCCGAUGGGGAAGCCAGCUUACUGGACAGAUACUGACGCUAAAGCGCGAAAGCGUGGGUAGCAAACAGG